rnacentral:rRNA from 1 species
GACGAACGCUGGCGGCAUGCCUAAUACAUGCAAGUCGAGCGAACAGAUGAAGUGCUUGCACUUCUGACGUUAGCGGCGAACGGGUGAGUAACACGUAAGGAAUCUACCUAUAAGCGGGGGAUAACAUUCGGAAACGGGUGCUAAUACCGCAUAAUAUCUUCUUCCGCAUGGAAGAAGAUUGAAAGACGGCUCUGCUGUCACUUAUAGAUGACCUUGCGGUGCAUUAGUUAGUUGGUGGGGUAAUGGCCUACCAAGACGAUGAUGCAUAGCCGACCUGAGAGGGUGAUCGGCCACAUGGGGACUGAGACACGGCCCAAACUCCUACGGGAGGCAGCAGUAGGGAAUCUUCCGCAAUGGGCGAAAGCCUGACGGAGCAAUGCCGCGUGAGUGAAGAAGGCCUUCGGGUCGUAAAACUCUGUUAUAAAAGAAGAACAAAUUGUAGAGUAACUGCUACAGUCUUGACGGUAUCUUAUCAGAAAGCCACGGCUAACUACGUGCCAGCCGCCGCGGUAA